rnacentral:rRNA from 1 species
CCUACGGGAGGCAGCAGUGAGGAAUAUUGGUCAAUGGUCGAGAGACUGAACCAGCCAAGCCGCGUGAGGGAGGAAGGUACAGAGUAUCGUAAACCUCUUUUGUAAGGGAACAAAGGCGGGGACGUGUCCCCGGAUGAGUGUACCUGAAGAAAAAGCAUCGGCUAACUCCGUGCCAGCAGCCGCGGUAAUACGGAGGAUCCGAGCGUUAUCCGGAUUUAGUGGGUUUAAAGGGUGCGCAGACGGGCGGUUAAGUCAGCGGUGAAAGCCCGGGGCUCAACCCCGGGACUGCCUUUGAAACUGGCAGUCUCGAGUUGGAGAGAAGUAUGCGGAAUGCAUGGUGUAGCGGUGAAAUGCAUAGAUAUCGCGCAGAACCCCGAUUGCGAAGGCAGCUUGCCGGCUUCACACUGACGCUGAGGCACGAAAGCGUGGGUAUCGAACAGGAUUAGAUACCCUGGUAGUC